rnacentral:rRNA from 1 species
UACGUAGGGGGCAAGCGUUGUCCGAAUUUAUUGGGCGUAAAGAGCGUGUAGGCGGCCAAGCAGGUCCGCUGUGAAAACUCGAGGCUCAACCUCGAGACGUCGGUGGAAACCGUUUGGCUAGAGUCCGGAAGAGGAGAGUGGAAUUCCCGGUGUAGUGGUGAAAUGCGUAGAUAUCGGGAGGAACACCAGUGGCGAAGGCGACUUCCUGGCCUGUUCUUGACGCUGAGGCGCGAAAGCUAGGGGAGCAAACGGG